UGCCAGCAGCCGCGGUAAUACGGAGGGUGCAAGCAUUAAUCGGAUUUAUUGGGCGUAAAGAGCGCGUAGGCGGAAAGGAAAGUCAGACGUGAAAUCCCGGGGCUCAACCCCGGAACUGCGUUUGAAACUUCCUUUCUCGAGGGUAGGCGGAGAAAACGGAAUUCCACAAGUAGCGGUGAAAUGCGUAGAUAUGUGGAGGAACACCCGUGGCGAAAGCGGUUUUCUAGCUUACUCCUGACGCUGAGGCGCGAAAGCAAGGGGAGCAAACAGGAUUAGAUA
rnacentral:rRNA from 1 species